GAUGAACGCUAGCGGCAGGCCUAAUACAUGCAAGUCGAACGGUGUCUUCGGACAUAGUGGCGCACGGGUGCGUAACACGUAUGCAACCUACCUUACAUUGGGGGAUAGCCUUUCGAAAGGGAGAUUAAUACCGCAUAAGACAGUAGCUGGGCAUCCAGCAGCUGUUAAAGAUUUAUCGAUGUAAGAUGGGCAUGCGUACAAUUAGCUAGUUGGUGAGGUAACGGCUCACCAAGGCAAUGAUUGGUAGGGGAACUGAGAGGUCAAUCCCCCACACUGGCACUGAGAUACGGGCCAGACUCCUACGGGAGGCAGCAGUAGGGAAUAUUGGGCAAUGGACGCAAGUCUGACCCAGCCAUGCCGCGUGCAGGAUGAAGGCGUUAUGCGUUGUAAACUGCUUUUAUACAGGAAGAAACGACUCUUGCGAGAGGCAUUGACGGUACUGUAUGAAUAAGCACCGGCUAACUCCGUGCCAGCCGCCGCAGUAACAC
rnacentral:rRNA from 1 species